rnacentral:rRNA from 1 species
GAUGAACGCUGGCGGCGUGCUUAAUACAUGCAAGUCGAACGGGGAGCUUGGACUUCGGUUUAGGCUUAUAGUGGCGAACGGGUGAGUAACGCGUUGGUGACCUGCCCCGAAGAGAGGGAUACCAGUUCGAAAGGACUGCUAAUACCGCAUAAUCUCUAUCCAGUUAGAAGUGGAUAGAGGAAAGGAGUAAUCCGCGUUGGGAGGGGCCUGCGUCCCAUCAGCUAGUUGGGAGGGUAAAAGCCUACCAAGGCGACGACGGGUAGGGGACCUGAGAGGGUGACCCCCCACACUUGCACUGAAACACGGGCCAGAAACCUACGGGUGGCAGCAGUAGGGAAUAUUGCACAAUGGGCGAAAGCCUGAUGCAGCAACGCCGCGUGCGCGAUGAAGGCCUUCGGGUCGUAAAGCGCUUUUCGGGGAGAAGAGGAAGGACGGUAUCCCCGGAAGAAGGAUCGGCUAACUACGUGCCAGCAGCCGCAGUAAAAC